rnacentral:lncRNA from 1 species
AAUAAACCUGUUGUUGAAUUAAAUCAGUAAUAUUAAAAAGCUGGGAUUUUGAUUGAAACUUCGUCAAUCGUACUUCAACCAUCCUUGUGAGCACUUGCUUAACAUAGAGUAAAAAUAUAUCUAUAAUGUUUAACAAUAAAAUUACGUUUCAUUUUGUGAUAAAGUCUACUCUGUCAAAUGUUGUAUUAAAAUUGUAGUGUUAAUAUGAUUGGUUACUGUUAAUUACUUAAACAAAACAAAACAAAAAAAUAAUUAAAGAAAAUGUUUCCCCAUAAAAGGAAGGUAGAAAAGGUGAAGAAACUUCGUAAUAUCUUACAAUUCUUCGAAAACUACAUCGCUAUAAUUCAUCAGCUCUUGGCCAAAAUAAAAAUUGAUAUACAGUACAUGCGCAGAAGGUUCUAUCGAUUUCAACUUAAGUCAGUUGAUCUCCGACAACGGUGCGGUACACUUUCUCAUUCGAAAGCAGCAAUGGUUUUACAGUGAUUAAAAGAGAGUACCAAUCUUGUACGACGAUAAAGUCUGCUAAAGCCCAAUAAAAAAUUGCCAUAAUUUCCUGA